CGCCCUUCUCUUAAUUCCACAACCAUCGCCCGCCCCCACCUCCAUCCGCGAAUGGCUCCCACUCCCUUCUCCUCCCACCACCACCUGUGUUCGCGGCUGCAACUCUACUCGAUUCUCCGACCUGGAAGCUGCUGCUCCCUUCAGUGACCUGAAAGCUAAUUCUUGCUCGUCAGUAGAUCUUGACAGUAACCGCGAACUCCUCUUUCUUCUGUCAGCGGAUUCGUUUUGGUGGUUAAGUGAUGGAUGAGAAAUAGUGGAAGUUAUGUAUGUAGGUGAUGCUCCUGAUCGUAACCUGUACUUCGUCAUGUGCAAUGUGUUGAAGGUAAACUUGAGUGCUGGUGGCAAUGUCUAUGUGUCACUCUUAUUACUUGCUUUUGGGCAAGUCUGUGUAGAUGUCAAUCACCAACUUUUAGUGUAUUGUUACAUUAUUAUUUAUAAACUCGGUUCUGGCUGUUUGUACUGGAA